ACGAACGCUGGCGGCGUGCCUAAUACAUGCAAGUCGAGCGAAGUUUUCUGGUGCUUGCACUAGAAAACUUAGCGGCGAACGGGUGAGUAACACGUAAAGAACCUGCCUCAUAGACUGGGACAACUAUUGGAAACGAUAGCUAAUACCGGAUAACAGCAUUAACUGCAUGGUUGAUGUUUGAAAGUUGGUUUUGCUAACACUAUGAGAUGGCUUUGCGGUGCAUUAGCUAGUUGGUGGGGUAAAGGCCUACCAAGGCGACGAUGCAUAGCCGACCUGAGAGGGUGAUCGGCCACACUGGGACUGAGACACGGCCCAGACUCCUACGGGAGGCAGCAGUAGGGAAUCUUCCGCAAUGGGCGAAAGCCUGACGGAGCAACGCCGCGUGAGUGAAGAAGGAUUUCGGUUCGUAAGGCUCUGUUGUUAGGGAAGAAUGAUUAUGUAGUAACUAUACAUAGUAGAGACGGUACCUAACCAGAAAGCCACGGCUAACUACGUG
rnacentral:rRNA from 1 species